UAAUAAUGCCGUACACCUCUCGAUACUGGUCAUCGAAACCAUAUUGGAAACUCGAUGGAAACUCGGUUGUCAAUAAAGAAGAAAAAAAUAUCUAUCAACAAAAUGUCAAAAUGACACUAAUCCAAGCUUACACCGUCGCUAAACCAUGUGGCACCAUGGACUAACUUUUAUUCUCAGACUAACGUUGGAAUAGCUUAGUCCGACGUUACUCCUUGUUUAUUAAUACCGAAAUUGACUAUUCUGAGCCUAAACCAUGGAGUAAAGUUAUUCUUACUCUAUUCUAUGUUUAUUAAUAAGAGGGUAUAUGCUGAGUGCAUAAUACAGCAAACUGUAAAGUAUUGAUCCUGACCUGCGCAGUGCAGUUGGAACAUUCUAGAAGUCUGGAGAAAUAGCGGGGCGCAGCUUGCAGUCAGUGCGGCCUGCGACGUGUGACGUGCAGGACGUGUCGGUCCCUGAGCCUCGCUCGGAACCGCAGUCCUACGUGUCUCAUCUCCCUGGCUUUAACAUCUCGGUGACUGAUGCCGUGCAGUGCUUCCAUUCGUCUCUGACGUUGGUGCAGCAGCUCGUGGCAGCAGCGCUUUAUCCUCACUGAGGCAUGAGGUGUUCUGCGAACGAGCUGCGUCACCAGUUCGCUGGAGGCAGGCGGAGGCGCGGUCCUGGCCCCAACCCUCUGACACCAGCGCACUGACCCUUCAACCUCCUCAUCAGAAAUGUAGCAACAUUGUCUUCUACAGUAUUGCUACAUCUCUAUGAACCCUCUUCCGGAUAGAUGACUACGGCUGGCGCGGUUCUCUUAAGACCGAGGCAAGGGGCUGAUAGACAGUGUUUUACAAAUACGCUCCUACAGUGGCUCUCCUCGCUCAUCUGAGACUCGCGCCUGAACCCGAGGAGUGGAGAAGAGGAUUUCACCAAGAGUAUCAGUUAUACCCUUUUUAUUGCUGGUAUUCUUAAAUCUAUAUCAUCGGAGCAAUUCUCAUCUCCUCUCCUCUGAAAACUUAUUUAGCAUGUCCCGAUGUGUACGCUCAUUAAUAUUUCAUAUAAAAAUAAUUGCCAGUAAGGGGAAACAACCGAUAUUGUAACAUGUGCGUUUUAUGUUAUAAUAUUAAUGUUCAUGGUGAUAUGGCACGAUGAAUAACUAAUCAUAAAAUGACACGAACAUAAAUCUUUAGGUUA